GCUGGCACGCUGCUACGCCGCCUGGUGGAUGGCUCGGCUCGGGCGCCGAGGAAGGGGGUGGCAAGCUGCCAUAAGCCCCGGGGAGCCGCAGGCAGGCUUCGAUCCGGGGAUCCCCGAAUGGCGAUGCCGCCGAGAGGCGCUCCCGGCAGGGAGCGGGAACCCCCCGAAUUGAAGCAUCUCAGUAGGGGGAGGAGGAGAAACCAACCGGGAUGCCCUGAGUACCGGCGAGGGAAAGGGGCUGAGCUCAAACCGAACUCCCGCUCGCGAGAGCGGGUGGAUGUGGGGUUGCGGGGGGAUCGGGAGCCGCUGGGAGGGAAGCCGAAGUGGCCUGGAACGGCCCGCCAUAGAGGGUGAGAGCCCCGUAGGCGUAACCUACCAGCGGUCCGGUCCUCUCCCGAGUACCGUGGGUUGGAAUACCCGCGGGAAUCCGGGGGUCAUCGACCUCCAAAGCUAAAUACGUCCCGAGACCGAUAGCGAACUGAGUACCGUGAGGGAAAGCUGAAAAGCACCGCUGGCGCGGGGUGAAAAGAGCCUGAAACCAGGCGGUCAUAGGAGCGGCGGCCCUCAAGGGCUGAAGCUCCCGAAGGAAAAUGCCGCGAGGCAUGAGUACGAGGGAGCGGACCGGGGUCGCCCCGUACGUCUUGAAACACGCGCCGGGGAGUUCACGGGCGUGGCGAGCCUAAGGGCUUUAAGCCCGAAGGCGGAGCGAAAGCGAGGACCCCGCAGCGAUGCGAGGGGGUCGCCUCCGAAAGGGGGUUCAGUCACGCUCGUGAGACCAGAAGCCGGGCGAUCUACUCCUGGGCAGGGCGAAGCCGGGUCGCGAGCCCGGUGGAGGCCCGAUAGGGAUGGUGAGGUGCAAAUCCCUCCCGUGACCUGGGAGUAGGGGCAAAAGACCAAUCUAGCCCGGCAAUAGCUGGUUCCCGCCGAAGCCUCCCGCAGGAGGAUCUCCGCGGAGGGUGGGGGCGUGGUAGGGCAACGAUUGGGUGGGUAAGGGGCUCCGCCCCGCCACCCUCUCGAACCCCGAAUGCGCCUCCCCCGUAGAAGCGGGGAGCCGGGCGGCGGGGGGAAGCUCCGUCGCCGAGAGGGGAACAACCCGGACCGGGGUUAAGGUCCCCAAGUCCUGGCUAAGUGCCGAAAUCCGAAGGGCGUCUCCCUCCUAAGACAGCGGGGAGGUAGGCUCAGAAGCAGCCAUCCUUUAAAGAGUGCGUAAAAGCUCACCCGCCGAGGAGGGAGGCCCCCAAAAUGAGUCGGGGCUGAAGCCAGGCACCGAUACCCCGGCAGCGUCCUGGAAGGGCGCUGGGUAGGCGGGCGCGCACACCGGGCGGAAGCCGGGGCGUGAGCUCCGGUGGACCGGUGUGUGUUGCAAAUCCCGGCGGUAGUAGCAGCGAAGUGGGGUGAGAAUCCCCACGGCCGAAAGCGCCAGGGUUCGCCGGCAAUGCUUCGUCAGCCGGCGGUUAGCCGGUCCUAAGGCGGCACCCAGCUGGUAGCCGCCGAAAGGGAAGCCGGUUAAUAUUCCGGCGCCACCGGGGUAGGCGGCAACGCAGGCCUCACCCCUGACGCCUCGGGCUAGGCUGAGCGGGGGCCCGCUGAGGCGGGCGACCCGUCCAAGCGCUUAAGGCCGCCGAGAACCGUAAUGGUGAGAAGCGGCUGAAGGCGCGAUGGGGGCCCCUUUGGGGGCCUUCGGCUCAUGCCUGGGGACCUUGAAAAGGGGGUGGGGAGCGAUCCCCGGUGCCCGUACCGAGAUCCGACACAGGUGCGCUGGCUGAGAAGGCCUAAGGCCUAUCGGUCCUAACGCGGGAGAGGGAACUCGGCAAAUUGGCCCCGUAACUUCGGGAGAUGGGGUGCCUGCGUUCCUCCGAAAGGGGGUCCGCAGGUCGCAGUGACAAGGGGCGCCCGACUGUUUAACAAAAACAUAGUUCCCCGCGAGCCCGCAAGGGUGUGUACGGGGGAUGAGGCCUGGCCAAUGCCGGUACCUGAAGCCCCGGUACAACGGGGUGAAGGGCCGGUGAAAGCCGGGAGUAACUCUGACUCUCUUAACGGCAGGUCCCCACUGCCCCCCGAAAGAAAUUUUAAUCCCUCAGUGAGUGAAAGCGCAAUGGACGGAAGGAUAGAAGGGUAUGUGGUGGGAUUCAUAGAUGCUGAAGGGAGCUUCUCUGUGAGCAUAAAGUUACAGAAAGGCCUCAGAUAUGGAAUCCGCCUCGAUCCUGUGUUCAGUGUAACGCAGAGGGAGAGGGAACCUAUAGAUACGAUAAUACAUGUGUUAAACGCGGGCAGGAUCAUAAGGAAGCCGGGGCAACCGCAUUUAUAUCUGCUGGUAAUAGACAGUAUAUCGGAGCUCAUUGGAAAACUGAUACCCUUCUUGGAGAGGAACAUCGACUUACUGUGUGCGAAGAAACACCAGUACAUUCUCUUCAGGGAUAUCGUGAGAGGGCUCCAUGAAGCCCGACAUAAGGAUAUCGGGGGGAUGUAUGAUCUUGUGAUUAAGGCUUAUGAGCUCUCCGAUUUAAGUAUGAAAUCGAAUAGGAGGAGGAGUUUGGAUGAUGUUCUCUUAAUGCUUAAGCAGUGGGGACCGCCGGGGGAAAGGUAGCCAUAUGCCUUGCCGAAUAAAAAUCGGCGUGCAUGAAUGGCUUAACGAGGUGCCCGCUGUCCCCUCCCGCGGGCCGGUGAACCCGCAUCCCGGUGUACAGACCGGGACGCCCCAACGGGGAGAGAAGACCCUGUGGAGCUUCACUGCAGCCUGGUCUUGUGGUACAGCUGGGGAUGCAGAGGGUAGGCGGGAGCGAUGUGGCCACCCUCCAGGGGGUGGCCGAAGCGACGAUGGAACACCGCCCUUCUCCAGCUGUACCACUAACCGCUCCGGCGGGACAGGGCCAGGUGGGCAGUUUGGCUGGGGUGGCACGCCCCUGCAAAGGUAUCAGGGGCGCCCUAAGGCGAGCUCAGGCGGGACAGAAACCCGCCGUAGAGGGCAAGGCCAAAAGCUCGCCUGACUGGAUCCCUAAACGCGUGGGAUCCAGGGGUGAAAGCCGGGCCUAGCGAACACUCGAGCCCUCUCGGUGAGGGCCGGGUACGACAAAAAAGUUACCCCAGGGGUAACGGAGCUGUGGCGGGCGAGAGUCCCCAUCGGCCCCGCCGCUUGCUUCCCCGACGUCGGCACUGCCCAUCCUGGGGGUGCAGCAGCCUCCAAGGGUGGGGAUGUUCGCCCAUUAAAGGGGAACGUGAGCUGGGUUCAGAACGUCGCGAGCCAGUUCGGUUUCUCCCUGUUGGGGCUGCAAGGCCGCCUGAGGGGAAGGGACCCUUAGUACGAAAGGAACGGGGUGUCGGGGCCUCCGGUGUACCGGUCGUCCGAAGGGGCGACGCCGGGUAGCCGCGCCCCAGCCGAUAAGGGCUGAAAGCAUCUAAGCCCGAAGCGGCCCCCGAAAAUAGGCGGCCUCGCCCCUCGUGGGGUUAGGGCGCGGGUAGAAGACCCGUUCGAUGGGGGGGUGGUGUAAGGCAGGAGCUUCGGCGGACUGCCUCAGCCUACCCCUCCCAAAGCCCGAGCGCAUGCCAGC
rnacentral:ncRNA from 24 species